rnacentral:rRNA from 1 species
UAGGGAAUAUUGCACAAUGGGGGAAACCCUGAUGCAGCGACGCCGCGUGAAGGAAGAAGUAUCUCGGUAUGUAAACUUCUAUCAGCAGGGAAGACAAUGACGGUACCUGACUAAGAAGCCCCGGCUAACUACGUGCCAGCAGCCGCGGUAAUACGUAGGGGGCAAGCGUUAUCCGGAUUUACUGGGUGUAAAGGGAGCGUAGACGGAUCUGCAAGUCUGGAGUGAAAAGCCCCGGGGGCUCAACCCCCGGGGACUGCUUUUGGAAAACUGUGGUCUAGAGUGCCGGAGAGGUAAGCGAAUUCCUAGUGUAGCGGUGAAAUGCGUAGAUAUUAGGAGGAACACCAGUGGCGAAGGCGGCUUACUGGACAGUGACUGACGUUGAGGCUCGAAAGCGUGGGGAGCAAACAGGAUUAGAUACCC